CUCUCCCUCCCCAGAUUCAUAUCCCUCUCUUCUCGUCGUCGAGCUCCUCCUCCGCCUUCAUCCCUCCUCCGCCGUGAUCUCGCCUUCAACCUCCUCCUCCUCCACGAUCUCGCCAUCGAGCUCCUCCUCCGCCUUUAGCGCUCCUCCACCGCGGUCUCGCCUUCAACCUCCUCCUCCUCCGCCCUCAACCCAGCCGUGGAUCCUGGAGUCAUCUUCAAGCACUCGUCGUGGAUUGAUGUGCCAUUGUGAAAGGAGGGUAUACUCUCCACAUCUGGAACUAAGACGAUCACUGGUCGAUUGUUUUUAGGAUAUGCUAAUUGGAAAAUGAGUAAUUUUGGCUUCUUCAAAUGGGUGACUGAUAAAGAGGAGUUUGAAGGUUCAAAGGCAGGGCUUGUUCAGACGAAUCAGUCGAGCGUGAUGCCGCAAGUUUCAAGUGACGUGUCAAUUGGAGAAGUGCGGGAAAAGAGAAAGAUUGAGAUUGAUAUUAUGGAUUUGUCGAAGACUGUUGUAUUUGUUCUUUUAUUUGGUAUUUUUCUUGAAUUUGUAUUUGGUAUUUUUAUUGUAUUUGUGCUAAGUAGGAUGUACUAAUGUAUUAUUGGAUGAGUAAGAACAAAUAGAAUUUCAGCAUCGUGUACAUA